UGGGGAAUAUUGGACAAUGGGCGGAAGCCUGAUCCAGCCAUGCCGCGUGUGUGAAGAAGGCCUUUUGGUUGUAAAGCACUUUAAGCGAGGAGGAGGCUACUUGGAUUAAUACUCUAGGAUAGUGGACGUUACUCGCAGAAUAAGCACCGGCUAACUCUGUGCCAGCAGCCGCGGUAAUACAGAGGGUGCGAGCGUUAAUCGGAUUUACUGGGCGUAAAGCGUGCGUAGGCGGCUUCUUAAGUCGGAUGUGAAAUCCCUGAGCUUAACUUAGGAAUUGCAUUGGAUACUGGGAAGCUAGAGUAUGGGAGAGGAUGGUAGAAUUCCAGGUGUAGCGGUGAAAUGCGUAGAGAUCUGGAGGAAUACCGAUGGCGAAGGCAGCCAUCUGGCCUAAUACUGACGCUGAGGUACGAAAGCAUGGGGAGCAAACAGG
rnacentral:rRNA from 1 species